GCUUGCUUCGGCAGCAGAUAUUAAAAUUAGAAUGAUACAGAGAAGAUUAACACAGACCCCGUGUAAGAAUGGCACACCAAUUCAUGAAGUGUCCCAUGUUUGG
rnacentral:snRNA from 1 species